rfam:Nitrospirae bacterium RIFCSPLOW2_12_42_9 rifcsplowo2_12_sub10_scaffold_1295, whole genome shotgun sequence.
ACUGGCUUCGACGGGGAUGAAGAUGCCAGGGUUGCAUGCUGAGGUCCCGUUGGCUCAUAAAACAAACGGGAAAAUUUAACUGCCAACGAAGAAUUGGCACUCGCUGCCUAAUUAAGGCAACGGCGCUCUUCCUGGGAUUGUCUGUGUCGCAGGAAAGGGUGUAAUAAAAGCAGGCUGGCCUGCCUCUGCCUCCUUGCAGGAGGCGGGCGAGAUAAAAGCAGGGUAGCAACAUCUUAAGCCUUCCAGUGGGCAUGAGGUGUUGCGAAUCUUUAAUACACUGGAUAAGCAUGUAGGAACCUUGAUGCUGAACGUUUCCGGACGCGGGUUCGAUCA